AGUUUGAUCCUGGCUCAGGACGAACGCUGGCGGCGUGCUUAACACAUGCAAGUCGAACGAGAAUCUGUGGAAAGAGGAUUCGUCCAAUUGAAGCAGAGGACAGUGGCGGACGGGUGAGUAACGCGUGAGGAACCUGCCUUUCAGAGGGGGACAACAGUUGGAAACGACUGCUAAUACCGCAUGACACAUUGAGGUCGCAUGGCCUUAAUGUCAAAGAUUUAUCGCUGAAAGAUGGCCUCGCGUCUGAGUAGCUAGUGUGAGGUACGCCACAACAGGGCGACGAAUCAGUAGCGGACUGAAGGUGGACCGCCUACAUGGACUGAGAAUCGCUAGACUCCUACGGGAGGCAGCAGUGGGAAUAUUGGCAUUGGCGCAGCUGACCAGCAACGCGCGUGAGAGAGCUUUCGGGUGUAACUCUUUUGUCAGGACGAGUAGAGACGUACUGACGAUAAGCACGCUACUACGUGCAGCAGCGCGUAAUACGUAGUGCAGCGUGUCCGAUUACUGGGUGUAAAGGGCGUGUAGCCGGAGGGCAAGUCAGAUGUGAAAUCCACGGGCUUAACUCGUGAACUGCAUUUGAAACUGUCUUCUUGAGUAUCGGAGAGGCAAUCGGAAUUCCUAGUGUAGCGGUGAAAUGCGUAGAUAUUAGGAGGAACACCAGUGGCGAAGGCGGAUUGCUGGACGACAACUGACGGUGAGGCGCGAAAGCGUGGGGAGCAAACAGGAUUAGAUACCCUGGUAGUCCACGCUGUAAACGAUGAAUACUAGGUGUGCGGGGACUGACCCCCUGCGUGCCGCAGUUAACACAAUAAGUAUUCCACCUGGGGAGUACGACCGCAAGGUUGAAACUCAAAGGAAUUGACGGGGGCCCGCACAAGCAGUGGAUUAUGUGGUUUAAUUCGACGCAACGCGAAGAACCUUACCAGGACUUGACAUCCAACUAACGAAGUAGAGAUACAUUAGGUGCCCUUCGGGGAAAGUUGAGACAGGUGGUGCAUGGUUGUCGUCAGCUCGUGUCGUGAGAUGUUGGGUUAAGUCCCGCAACGAGCGCAACCCCUAUUGUUAGUUGCUACGAAAGAGCACUCUAGCGAGACUGCCGUUGACAAAACGGAGGAAGGCGGGGACGACGUCAAAUCAUCAUGCCCCUUAUGUCCUGGGCUACACACGUAACACAAUGGUGGCGAACAGAGGGAAGCAAAGCCGCGAGGCAGAGCAAAACCCUAAAAGCCAUCUCAGUUCGGAUUGCAGGCUGCAACUCGCCUGCAUGAAGCUGGAAUUGCUAGUAAUCGCGGAUCAGAAAGCCGCGGUGAAUACGUUCCCGGGCCUUGCACACACCGCCCGUC
rnacentral:rRNA from 1 species